GACACGCUGGCGGCGUGCUUAACACAUGCAAGUCGAACGGUGACGAGGAGCUUGCUCCUCUGAUCAGUGGCGAACGGGUGAGUAACACGUGAGCAACCUGCCCCAGACUCUGGGAUAACAGUUGGAAACAGCUGCUAAUACCGGAUACGAGACGGAGAGGCAUCUCUACCGUCUGGAAAGUUUUCGGUCUGGGAUGGACUCGCGGCCUAUCAGCUAGUUGGUGAGGUAAUGGCUCACCAAGGCGACGACGGGUAGCCGGCCUGAGAGGGCGACCGGCCACACUGGGACUGAGACACGGCCCAGACUCCUACGGGAGGCAGCAGUGGGGAAUAUUGCACAAUGGGCGAAAGCCUGAUGCAGCGACGCCGCGUGAGGGAUGACGGCCUUCGGGUUGUAAACCUCUUUCAGCAGGGAAGAAGCGAAAGUGACGGUACCUGCAGAAGAAGCACCGGCUAACUACGUG
rnacentral:rRNA from 1 species